AUUGAACGCUGGCGGCAGGCCUAACACAUGCAAGUCGAGCGGAUGACGGGAGCUUGCUCCUUGAUUCAGCGGCGGACGGGUGAGUAAUGCCUAGGAAUCUGCCUGGUAGUGGGGGACAACGUUUCGAAAGGAACGCUACUACCGCAUACGUCCUACGGGAGAAAGCAGGGGACCUUCGGGCCUUGCGCUAUCAGAUGAGCCUAGGUCGGAUUAGCUAGUUGGUGGGGUAAAGGCUCACCAAGGCGACGAUCCGUAACUGGUCUGAGAGGAUGGUCAGUCACACUGGAACUGAGACACGGUCCAGACUCCUACGGGAGGCAGCAGUGGGGAAUAUUGGACAAUGGGCGAAAGCCUGAUCCAGCCAUGCCGCGUGUGUGAAGAAGGUCUUCGGAUUGUAAAGCACUUUAAGUCGGGAGGAAGGGCUGUAGGUUAAUACCUUGCAGCCUUGACGUUACCGACAGAAUAAGCACCGGCUAACUUCGUGCCAGCCGCCGCCGUAACAC
rnacentral:rRNA from 1 species